rnacentral:rRNA from 1 species
UACGGGGGGGGUAAGCGUUGUUCGGAAUUACUGGGCGUAAAGGGCUCGUAGGCGGCCAACUAAGUCAGACGUGAAAUCCCUCGGCUUAACCGGGGAACUGCGUCUGAUACUGGAUGGCUUGAGGUUGGGAGAGGGAUGCGGAAUUCCAGGUGUAGCGGUGAAAUGCGUAGAUAUCUGGAGGAACACCGGUGGCGAAGGCGGCAUCCUGGACCGAUUCUGACGCUGAGGAGCGAAAGCCAGGGGAGCAAACGGG